CCUCAGAAUCCUCAGUCCAGGCAUCUCUGCUGACAACGUUUUUUACCAUUGAGGAGUUAAGCACGGAAGGGUGCAGUUGUGAAGGUGUUCACCUCUGAGAUAACCUUUAAGUGAUAAUCGGCUCUGCUCAGGGUUGUUGGACAGUUAAUCGAGAAGACAACUGAGCGCUUAAGAGAAAAAUGUCUAUUAAGAAACUGUGGGUGAUACCAAAGGAUGGUUACUUAUUACUUCUUGACUUUGAUUCAGAUGAAGAAGAAGAGCAGGCUCAUUCUGAAGGUAUCCAGUCUUCAGUAUUGAUUGUGUCCUGAAGUUCAUUAGACCUUUCCUAACUCACCUGCAAAGGAAGAAGUCUUUUCUAAGUUUUCAUAUACUUCAUUUCUAAUUUUACCUAUAUCUAUAUAUUCCUAUACCCGAGUUUUAGCAGUGCAUAUACCUACUCUUGGCACUGUAGACAUAAUAUGUUGAGAAACGAUAACUUGCUAUGAUUUUACCCCAGAAAAAGACAUGAACGGUGUUCCUAUAUGUUAGCAAAACAUGAAUUUAUUUCAUAAUACCUGCAAAUAAAUUAUUUCAUUCCUUUU
rnacentral:lncRNA from 1 species